rnacentral:rRNA from 1 species
AGGUCUUGACAUCCCGAUGCUUAUUUCUAGAGAUAGAAAGUUACUUCGGUACAUCGGUGACAGGUGGUGCAUGGUUGUCGUCAGCUCGUGUCGUGAGAUGUUUGGGGUUAAGUCCCGCAACGAGCGCAACCCCCUAUUGUUAGUUGCCAUCAUUCAGUUGGGCACUCUAGCGAGACUGCCGGUAAUAACCGGAGAAGUGGGGAUGACGUCAAAUCAUCAUGCCCCUUAUGACCUGGGCUACACACGUGCUACAAUGGUUGGUACAACGAGUUGCGAGUCGGUGACGGCGAGCUAAUCUCUUAAAGCCAAUCUCAGUUCGGAUUGUAGGCUGCAACUCGCCUACAUGAAGUCGGAAUCGCUAGUAAUCGCGGAUCAGCACGCCGCGGUCGAAUACGUUCCGGGCCUU